rnacentral:rRNA from 1 species
GGCUCAGAACGUACGCUGGCGGCACGCCUAACACAUGCAAGUCGAACGAAGUAGCAAUACUUAGUGGCAGACGGGUGAGUAACAUGUAGGUAUCUGCCCUUUGGCCUGGAAUAACACGAGGAAACUUGUGCUAAUACCGGAUAAGUCUUUACGGAGAAAGCUUUAUGCACCAUUGGAUGAGCCUGCACUUGAUUAGUUUGUUGGUGGGGUAAUGGCCUACCAAGACUGUGAUCAAUAGCUGAUUUGAGAGGAUGAUCAGCCACAUUGGGACUGAGACACGGCCCAAACUCCUACGGGAGGCAGCAGUGGGGAAUCUUGCACAAUGGAGGAAACUCUGAUGCAGCGAUGCCGCGUGAGUGAAGAAGGCCCUUGGGUUGUAAAGCUCUUUCGUCGGGGAAGAAAAUGACUGUACCCGAAUAAGAAGGUCCGGCUAACUUCGUGCCAGCAGCCGCGGUAAUACGAAGGGACCUAGCGUAGUUCGGAAUUACUGGGCUUAAAGAGUUCGUAGGUGGUUGAAAAAGUUAGUGGUGAAAUCCCAGAGCUUAACUCUGGAACUGCCAUUAAAACUUUUCAGCUAGAGUAUGAUAGAGGAAAGCAGAAUUUCUAGUGUAGAGGUGAAAUUCGUAGAUAUUAGAAAGAAUACCAAUUGCGAAGGCAGCUUUCUGGAUCAUUACUGACACUGAGGAACGAAAGCAUGGGUAGCGAAGAGGAUUAGAUACCCUCGUAGUCCAUGCCGUAAACGAUGUGUGUUAGACGUUGGAAAUUUAUUUUCAGUGUCGCAGGGAAACCGAUAAACACACCGCCUGGGGAGUACGACCGCAAGGUUAAAACUCAAAUGAAUUGACGGGGACCCGCACAAGUAGUGGAGCAUGUGGUUUAAUUCGAAGAUACGCGCAGAACCUUACCAACACUUGACAUGUUCGUCGCGACUCUAAGAGAUUAGAGUUUUCGGUUCGGCCGGACGAAACACAGGUGCUGCAUGGCUGUCGUCAGCUCGUGUCGUGAGAUGUUGGGUUAAGUCCCGCAACGAGCGCAACCCUCACUUUUAGUUGCCAUCAUUAAGUUGGGCACUCUGAAAGAACUGCCAGUGAUAAGCUGGAGGAAGGUGGGGAUGACGUCAAGUCCUCAUGGCCCUUACGUGUUGGGCUACACACGUGCUACAAUGGUAUCUACAACAGGAAGCAAGACUGCGAAGUUAAGCAAAUCCCUAAAAGAUACCUCAGUUCGGAUUGCACUCUGCAACUCGAGUGCAUGAAGCUGGAAUUACUAGUAAUCGUGGAUCAGCGUGCCACGGUGAAUGCGUUCCCGGGUCUUGUACACACCGCCCGUCACACCAUGGGAGUUGGUUCUACCUUAAG